rnacentral:rRNA from 1 species
ACGCUCGACACCUACGGGAGGCAGCAGUGGGGAAUAUUGGGCAAUGGGCGCAAGCCUGACCCAGCAACGCCGCGUGAAGGAAGAAGGCCCUCGGGUUGUAAACUUCUUUUGUCAGGGACGAAGCAAGUGACGGUACCUGACGAAUAAGCCACGGCUAACUACGUGCCACAGCCGCGGUAAUCUGAGCGGGCUGGCAAGGC